GGUAGCUAAUACCGCAUAACGUCGCAAGACCAAAGAGGGGGACCUUCGGGCCUCUUGCCAUCGGAUGUGCCCAGAUGGGAUUAGCUAGUAGGUGGGGUAACGGCUCACCUAGGCGACGAUCCCUAGCUGGUCUGAGAGGAUGACCAGCCACACUGGAACUGAGACACGGUCCAGACUCCUACGGGAGGCAGCAGUGGGGAAUAUUGCACAAUGGGCGCAAGCCUGAUGCAGCCAUGCCGCGUGUAUGAAGAAGGCCUUCGGGUUGUAAAGUACUUUCAGCGGGGAGGAAGGGAGUAAAGUUAAUACCUUUGCUCAUUGACGUUACCCGCAGAAGAAGCACCGGCUAACUCCGUGCCAGCAGCCGCGGUAAUACGGAGGGUGCAAGCGUUAAUCGGAAUUACUGGGCGUAAAGCGCACGCAGGCGGUUUGUUAAGUCAGAUGUGAAAUCCCCGGGCUCAACCUGGGAACUGCAUCUGAUACUGGCAAGCUUGAGUCUCGUAGAGGGGGGUAGAAUUCCAGGUGUAGCGGUGAAAUGCGUAGAGAUCUGGAGGAAUACCGGUGGCGAAGGCGGCCCCCUGGACGAAGACUGACGCUCAGGUGCGAAAGCGUGGGGAGCAAACAGGAUU
rnacentral:rRNA from 1 species